rnacentral:rRNA from 1 species
UACGAGAGGCCCAAACGUUAUUCGGAAUUACUGGGCUUAAAGAGUUCGUAGGCGGCAUUGCAAGUAGGGUGUGAAAGCCCUCGGCUCAACCGAGGAAUUGCGCUCUAAACUGCAGUGCUCGAGGAACCUAGAGGUGAGCAGAACAGAUGGUGGAGCGGUGAAAUGCGUUGAUAUCAUCUGGAAUACCGGAGGCGAAGGCGGCUCACUGGGGGUUUUCUGACGCUGAGGAACGAGAGCCAGGGUAGCGAACGGG